rnacentral:rRNA from 1 species
AGGCUUUGAAGUGUGGACGCCAGUCUGCAUGGAGCCGACCUUGAAAUACCACCCUUUAAUGUUUGAUGUUCUAACGUGGACCCGUUACCCGGGUUGCGGACAGUGUCUGGUGGGUAGUUUGACUGGGGCGGUCUCCUCCUAAAGAGUAACGGAGGAGCACGAAGGUUGGCUAAUCCUGGUCGGACAUCAGGAGGUUAGUGCAAUGGCAUAAGCCAGCUUGACUGCGAGCGUGACGGCGCGAGCAGGUGCGAAAGCAGGUCAUAGUGAUCCGGUGGUUCUGAAUGGAAGGGCCAUCGCUCAACGGAUAAAAGGUACUCCGGGGAUAACAGGCUGAUACCGCCCAAGAGUUCAUAUCGACGGCGGUGUUUGGCACCUCGAUGUCGGCUCAUCACAUCCUGGGGCUGAAGUAGGUCCCAAGGGUAUGGCUGUUCGCCAUUUAAAGUGGUACGCGAGCUGGGUUUAGAACGUCGUGAGACAGUUCGGUCCCUAUCUGCCGUGGGCGCUGGAGAACUGAGGGGGGCUGCUCCUAGUACGAGAGGACCGGAGUGGACGCAUCACUGGUGUUCGGGUUGUCAUGCCAAUGGCACUGCCCGGUAGCUAAAUGCGGAAGAGA